rnacentral:rRNA from 1 species
AGACGUAGGGGGCGAGCGUUGUCCGGAAUUACUGGGCGUAAAGAGCACGUAGGCGGAUAAUUAAGUCAGGUGUGAAAGACCGCAGCCUAACUGCGGGGUUGCACUUGAGACUGGUUAUCUUGAGGGCAGGAGAGGUCAGUAGAAUUCCUGGUGUAGCGGUGAAAUGCGUAGAAAUCAGGAGGAAUACCAGUGGCGAAGGCGGCUGACUGGACUGACCCUGACGCUGAGGUGCGAAAGCGUGGGUAGCAAACAGGAUUAGAUACCCUGGUAGUCCACGCCGUAAACGAUGGAUACUAGGUGUAGGAGGUAUCGACCCCUUCUGUGCCGGAGCAAACGCAAUAAGUAUCCCGCCUGGGGAGUACGGUCGCAAGGCUGAA